AACGAACGCUGGCGGCAGGCUUAACACAUGCAAGUCGAACGCACCGCAAGGUGAGUGGCAGACGGGUGAGUAACACGUGGGGAUCUGCCAAUGGUACGGAAUAGCUCCGGGAAACUGGAAUUAAUACCGUAUGAGCCCGCAAGGGGAAAGAUUUAUCGCCAUUGGAUGAACCCGCGUCGGAUUAGCUAGUUGGUGUGGUAAAGGCGCACCAAGGCGACGAUCCGUAGCUGGUCUGAGAGGAUGAUCAGCCACACUGGGACUGAGACACGGCCCAGACUCCUACGGGAGGCAGCAGGGGGGAAUAUUGGACAAUGGGCGCAAGCCUGAUCCAGCCAUGCCGCGUGAGCGAUGAAGGCCUUAGGGUUGUAAAGCUCUUUCGCCGACGAAGAUAAUGACGGUAGUCGGAGAAGAAGCCCCGGCUAACUUCGUGCCAGCCGCCGCCGUAAAAC
rnacentral:rRNA from 1 species